GUGCCAGCCGCCGCGGUAAUACGGAGGGUGCGAGCGUUAAUCGGAAUUACUGGGCGUAAAGCGCGCGUAGGCGGUUUGUUAAGUCCGCUGUGAAAGCCCUGGGCUCAACCUGGGAACUGCAGUGGAUACUGGCAGGCUAGAGUAUGGUAGAGGAGAGUGGAAUUUCCGGUGUAGCAGUGAAAUGCGUAGAGAUCGGAAGGAACACCAGUGGCGAAGGCGGCUCUCUGGACCAAUACUGACGCUGAGGUGCGAAAGCGUGGGGAGCAAACAGGAUUAGAUACCCCUGUAGUCC
rnacentral:rRNA from 1 species